rnacentral:rRNA from 1 species
UACGGAAGGCAGCAGUGGGGAAUAUUGCACAAUGGGCGCAAGCCUGAUGCAGCCAUGCCGCGUGUAUGAAAAAGGCCUUCGGGUUGUAAAGUACUUUCAGUCGUGAGGAAGGUGUUAAGGUUAAUAACCUUAGCAAUUGACGUUAGCGACAGAAGAAGCACCGGCUAACUCCGUGCCAGCAGCCGCGGUAAUACGGAGGGUGCGAGCGUUAAUCGGAAUUACUGGGCGUAAAGGGCACGCAGGCGGUUAAUUAAGUUGGAUGUGAAAUCCCCGGGCUUAACCUGGGAAUGGCAUUCAAGACUGGUUAGCUAGAGUCUUGUAGAGGGGGUAGGAAUUCCAUGUGUAGCGGUGAAAUGCGUAGAGAUGUGGAGGAAUACCGGUGGCGAAGGCGGCCCCGUGGACCAAAGGCUGACGCUCGAUGUGCGAAAGCGUGGGGAGCAAACAGGGAUUAGAU